rnacentral:rRNA from 1 species
AUGGCAGCGGCGUUCCUCGCCGGUUCCGAGCGAGAUGGGGCUGCGAUGCAGACGAUGUUGGGCGCGGCGGCGGCAAUCUCUGGCCAGAUCCGGUCGAGGAGGCGAGGUAGGGGCCGGAUUAUGUUUUGGGGACGACAUGGAGGCGAUCUACAAGGCGCGGGAGGAGGUCCAGCGGCAGGGCUUCAACUCCAGCGGGCCCCCUUUCGAUGGACGGGGCCGCCCACAUCGCCGGUGACUCCCCGGAGGCCAACAGGGCCUCCUCCUCCGCGUCCUCGACCGACUCGGCCUCCCGGCGCUCCCGACCGCGGAAGGGGAUUCACCUGCGGCGGCGCCGGCGACUGUUGUUCGCUCGGAGAGGAGAGGGCGGCGAAGGUGACGGUAAGGACGCCGAUGACGACGUGCAGGACCUCGCACUGUCGCCGGGGAUGUCCUUCGCGGUGGUUCUCGCCCAGCCAGAGGCUCAACAUCAGGGGCCGCGUAUACCCAGCGAUGCUCCCCGUCGACGGCAACAAAGUCCCCGGAAAGGUUUGGAAGGGGAUCACUGAUGGGGAGUUCAAUGUGCUGGACACAUUUGAAGAUGAACAGUAUGUGAGGGAAGUUGUUGGCAUCUCACUGACUGAUUCGGCGGAUACAAUGAUGGCCUAUGCAUACAUAUGGGGGAAUGUAGAUGAUCCUGACCUCUAUAGUGAAUGGGAUUUUGACGUCGACGGCCCUGCCGACGCAAGGGAUCUCGGGUCGCCGUCGCCAUUUGGGAGCUCCCUCUCCUUCAUGCCUUCUUACCGUGGUGCCAGGGAUCAACGGCCGGACGCCAGCAUGACGGAGCUAUUGUGCUGCUGCCUCAGGUCGUCCAGGCUCGUCCUCGGUCCCAGCCACCCAUCAUCAAGAUCCGACGUCCUCUGUCCUUUUUUCCGAUUGAUAGAGGCUGAAUCUACAUCAGAACAACGGCAAGUUAACAAACGAGGAGGUUGGAGUUGUACUGUGACUACUGUUAGAUCUGGUUUUGCACUUCCGAAUUUUAUUUGA